rnacentral:rRNA from 1 species
GAUCUGGCUCAGGAUGAACGCUAGCUACAGGCUUAACACAUGCAAGUCGAGGGGCAGCAUGAAAGGAACUUCGGUUCUUUUUGAUGGCGACCGGCGCACGGGUGCGUAACGCGUAUCGAACCUGCCUCAUACUCGGGGAUAGCCUUGCGAAAGUAAGAUUAAUACCCGGCGGUCUCGGAUGGCCGCAUGACUAUCCGAGUGAAGAUUUAUCGGUAUGAGAUGGCGAUGCGUCCCA